UACGUAGGCAGCGAGCGUUGUUCGGAGUUACUGGGCGGAAAGGGUGUGUAGGCGGUUGUUUAAGUUUGGUGUGGAAUCUCCCGGCUCAACCGGGAGGGUGCGCCGAAUACUGAAUGACUUCGAGUGCGGGAGAGGAAAGUGGAAUUCCUGGUGUAGCGGUGAAAUGCGUAGAUAUCAGGAGGAACACCGGUGGUGUAGACGGCUUUCUGGACCGUAACUGACGCUGAGACACGAAAGCGUGGGUAGCAAACAGG
rnacentral:rRNA from 1 species